UAGGGAAUUUUCGGCAAUGGACGAAAGUCUGACCGAGCAACGCCGCGUGAGUGAUGACGGCCUUCGGGUUGUAAAGCUCUGUUGUAAAGGAAGAACUGCCUGGAUAGGAUCUAGGAAUGACGGUACUUUACCAGAAAGCCACGGCUAACUACGUGCCAGCAGCCGCGGUAAUACGUAGGUGGCAAGCGUUAUCCGGAAUUAUUGGGCGUAAAGGGUGCGUAGGCGGUUGAUUAAGUUUUAGGUGAAAGCGUGGGGCUCAACCCCAUAUAGCCUAAGAAACUGGUCAACUAGAGUACAGGAGAGGGCAAUGGAAUUCCAUGUGUAGCGGUAAAAUGCGUAGAUAUAUGGAGGAACACCAGUGGCGAAGGCGGUUGCCUGGCCUGUAACUGACGCUCAAGCACGAAAGCGUGGGGAGCAAAUAGG
rnacentral:rRNA from 2 species